CUAAGACUUGCGUUAUUCAAACACAUCUCCUGAAUGCAACUCAGACACUUUAAUUAAGCUAAAGCCUC
rnacentral:tRNA from 1 species